UCAUUCUGGAGAAAUUUCAGAUUAGGGUUUAUCUGUUUGGGAGAUUGGCAAUUUAUCCUUGCUCCGACUGUUGAUUUACAGAAGCAACGUUUCCAAUCAGAUUUGGACAAGUUGUAGAGGACUCUGAUUCGAGACCGUAU